rnacentral:rRNA from 1 species
UAUUGGACAAUGGGGGAAACCCUGAUCCAGCGACGCCGCGUGAGUGAAGAAGUAUUUCGGUAUGUAAAGCUCUGUCAGCAGGGAAGAAAGAAAUGACGGUACCUGACCAAGAAGCCCCGGCUAACUACGUGCCAGCAGCCGCGGUAAUACGUAGGGGGCAAGCGUUAUCCGGAAUUACUGGGUGUAAAGGGAGCGUAGACGGCUGAGCAAGUCAGAAGGGAAAGCCCGGGGCUCAACCCCGGGACUGCUUUUGAAACUGCGGAGCUGGAGUGCAGGAGAGGUAAGCGGAAUUCCUGGUGUAGCGGUGAAAUGCGUAGAUAUCAGGAGGAACACCAGUGGCGAAGGCGGCUUACUGGACUGUAACUGACGUUGAGGCUCGAAAGCGUGGGGAGCAAACAGG